UCUCUUUAGUGGGCUAACAGUAGACCUGUGUGCCCUGUGUGAAAGAGAGCCAAAGGAUCAAGUAUCCAUCCCCUGUGGACACAGUUACUGCAGGCAGUGCAUACGCGUCUUUGUCUCACCUGAACCUCUCCAACAUCAGCACUCAGAGUCAACUCACUGCUACGCUGGACCUGGAGAUGUGGCCUGUGAUCUCUGCACUGAGAAAAAGCUCAAAGCUGUGAAGUCCUGUCUGAUCUGCACUGCCUCCUACUGUGAGAGCCACAUAAGGCAGCAUUACACUGCAAAAACACACCCUGGUGGAGGUGACAGGAAACCUGCAGCAGAAACUCUGCCAGCUGCACCACAAAGCUCUGGAAGUCUUCUGUAAGACAGACCAGAUACUCAUCUGUAAUGUGUGUGCAGUGGAGGACCACAGAGGCCACAGAAAACGCUACAUAGAGAUCCCAAUGUCGUUGGACACUUCGUCUCUACUAGGUCAGACACUGAUAAACAUGAGUGAUUUGAAUCUCUUCCAAAACCAUCUGAUCCAUUGUUACCCAGAGUGCUUUGAGACGCAGCUGGACAAUGAAGAUGUUCUGGAUUUGGUGGAGAAAAUGCUGGAGAGUUUUGGAAGCGAGGGUGCCUUGAAGAUCACACUGAACUUUCUAGACAUAAGAAAUAAAACUCUUUGGAAAGCCAGAGAAAUUAAAACUAAACUGGGGCAGAAGUUUCAACAAAUAUUUGAAGGAAUUGGACACCAUGGAAACCAAACUCUCUUAAAU